rnacentral:rRNA from 1 species
AUUGAACGCUGGCGGCAGGCCUAACACAUGCAAGUCGAACGAGCGGCGGACGGGUGAGUAAUGUAUGGGGAACUGCCCGAUGGAGGGGGAUAACUACUGGAAACGGUGGCUAAUACCGCAUACUAUCGGAUGUACCCAUAUGGGAUUAGCUAGUAGGUGGGGUAAAGGCUCACCUAGGCGACGAUCCCUAGCUGGUCUGAGAGGAUGACCAGCCAAACUGGGACGGAGACACGUCCCAGACUCCUACGGUAGGCAGCAGUGGGGAAUAUUGCACAAUGGUCGAAAGCCUGAUGCAGCCAUGCCGCGUGUAUGAAGAAGGCCUUAGGGUUGUAAAGUACUUUCAGCGGGGAGGCGUUACCCGCAGAAGAAGCACCGGCUAACUCCGUGCCAGCAGCCGCGGUAAUAC